AACGAACGUUAGCGGCGCGCUUAACACAUGCAAGUCGAACGAGAAAGGGCUUCGGCCCCGGUACAGUGGCGCACGGGUGAGUAACACGUGGGUAAUCUACCCUUGAGCGGGGGAGUAACGUUCCGAAAGGAGCGCUAAUACCGCAUAAGACCACGCUCUCGAAAGGGAGCGAGGUAAAAGUAGGCCUCUGAAUUCACGCUUACACUCGAGGAUGAGCCCGCGGCCCAUCAUGGUAGUUGGUAGGGUAAUGGCCUACCAAGCCGAAGACGGGUAGCUGGUCUUAGAGGAUGAUCAGCCACACUGGAACUGAGACACGGUCCAGACUCCUACGGGAGGCAGCAGUGGGGAAUCUUGCGCAAUGGGCGAAAGCCUGACGCAGCGACGCCGCGUGGGUGAUGAAGGCCUUCGGUCGUAAAGACUCUGUGGGGAGAGACGAAUAAGAACGUGGCUAAUAUCCACGGCGAUGACGGUAUCUCCUUAG
rnacentral:rRNA from 1 species